AUUGAACGCUGGCGGCAUGCCUUACACAUGCAAGUCGAACGGUAACAGGUCUUUCGGGAUGCUGACGAGUGGCGAACGGGUGAGUAAUACAUCGGAACGUGCCCAGUAAUGGGGGAUAGCUCGGCGAAAGCCGGAUUAAUACCGCAUACGCCCUGAGGGGGAAAGUGGGGGACCGCAAGGCCUCACGUUAUUGGAGCGGCCGAUGGCUGAUUAGCGAGUUGGUAGGGUAAAGGCCUACCAAGGCGACGAUCAGUAGCUGGGCUGAGAGGACGAUCAGCCACAGUGGGACUGAGACACGGCCCAGACUCCUACGGGAGGCAGCAGUGGGGAAUUUUUGACAAGGGAGGAGACCCUGAUCCAGAAAUGCCGCGUGUACGAAGAAGGCCUUCUGGUUGUAAAGCACUUUUGUCAGGGAACAAAUCCUAUGGGCUAAUACCCUAGUGGGAUGACGGUACCUGAAGAAUAAGCACCGGCUAACUACGUGCCAGCCGCCGCUGUAAAAC
rnacentral:rRNA from 1 species